GACGAACGCUGGCGGCGUGCUUAACACAUGCAAGUCGAACGGAAAGGCCCUGCUUGCAGGGUACUCGAGUGGCGAACGGGUGAGUAACACGUGGGUGAUCUGCCCUGCACUUCGGGAUAAGCCUGGGAAACUGGGUCUAAUACCGGAUAGGAGCCAUUUUUAGUGUGAUGGUUGGAAAGUUUUUUCGGUGUAGGAUGAGCUCGCGGCCUAUCAGCUUGUUGGUGGGGUAAUGGCCUACCAAGGCGGCGACGGGUAGCCGGCCUGAGAGGGUGGACGGCCACAUUGGGACUGAGAGACGGCCCAGACUCCUACGGGAGGCAGCAGUGGGGAAUAUUGCACAAUGGGCGCAAGCCUGAUGCAGCGACGCCGCGUGGGGGAUGACGGCCUUCGGGUUGUAAACUCCUUUCGCUAGAGACGAAGCUUUUUGUGACGGUACCUAGAUAAGAAGCACCGGCUAACUACGUG
rnacentral:rRNA from 1 species